UGAGGAAUAUUGGGCAAUGCUCGAAAGAGUGACCCAGCAACGCCGCGUGGAGGAUGAAGGUAUUCUAUAUCGUAAACUCCUGUGAGAGCAGACGAAAGACAGAUUAUUAAUCUGGAUGACUGUAUGCUCAGAGGAAGCCCCGGCUAACUACGUGCCAGCAGCCGCGGUAAUACGUAGGGGGCAAGCGUUGUCCGGAUUCACUGGGUGUAAAGGGCGCGUAGGCGGGAUAGCAAGUCAGUGGUGAAAUCUU
rnacentral:rRNA from 1 species